UACGGGGGGGGCAAGCGUUGUUCGGAAUUAUUGGGCGUAAAGGGCGCGUAGGCGGCUUUGCAAGUGACUGGUGAAAUCCCUCGGCUUAACCGAGGAACUGCCUGUCAAACUGCAUGGCUUGAGACCGGGAGAGGUGAGUGGAAUUCCCAGUGUAGCGGUGAAAUGCGUAGAUAUUGGGAGGAACACCAGUGGCGAAGGCGGCUCACUGGACCGGUACUGACGCUGAUGCGCGAAAGCGUGGGGAGCAAACAGG
rnacentral:rRNA from 1 species